GAAAACCAUUCCACGGACUCAACUCCCCAUGCCGGAUUGUGCUAAGCGGAACCCGCAUCGGGACCGGGUGCCGCCUGUCCGGCGGCUUCGCUCGCGUCCAGUCUGGUUUGAAGGAACACCGAUGAACAUUCUGCCCUCCAACCUGCGCUUCGGCGCGGGCCAAUCCGUCAAGCGCCUCGAAGAUCAGCGGCUUCUCACAGGGCAAGGACAUUUCAUCGACGACAAGGCGAAGGAUGGCGCGUUGUGGCUUU
rnacentral:misc_RNA from 1 species